rnacentral:lncRNA from 1 species
UUUUUAAGAUUAAGAAGUCUAUUAGGGGGGAAAAAGUAUUAACUUGAAUAACUUUUUGUGUGUGAUGUUGAAGGAAGAAAGUCGCGGGUGGGUGGGGAGCAGUUCCCCCCCAGGACCACACCAGGAAAUGCACUUUAUGGGAGGUGUGUGCGCUAUACACGCAGAUCGUGUGUAUGUCUUGUGGAUAAACUCUCCCCGUUCCCUCCAUUCCUUAACUUACUCCGCAGAGAGAAAAGAAAUCCAACGAAUCUGUUUACAUUCCCGAAAUGCCAGGAUAAAUUGGGAGGAUUGCGUGUCCGUGCCCAGAGCUCCAGACGGUUGUUUUACAAGAAAAGUGUUCGGGUGGACUUUUCCUUUGCGCGUCCUCUAGCCUCGCCAGAAGAGACGGUGGCCCCACCUCCCAGGAAGACUUGGACAAGGCUCCCUCCCUCGGGGAGGGCGGGCCCAGCUCUCGGAGGGACGCACGGCCGGGCUGGCCACCCUGCGGGACCCGCGGCGGGAGCGCUGGGAGAGGGCAGCGCACCCAGGCCUUGCCGCGCCGCACUGGGCGGUCCGGGCGUGCCCGGUCGGGGUCGCCCGGGCGUAGGACUGGCGGCCCCGCGCGACCAGGGGAAGGAGGGGCCAGGCGGAGUUUUCGUCCAGGAACGCGCAUCAGAACUUUUGCACCCCCCCGCCUUCUUAAGAGCAAAAGCUGUAAUUUAUAGGCCUUUUUGGUUCGCGGAGUGUUCUCUCUGUGAACUCGACAUUCAAACUCCGCCAAAGGGGGAGGAGGAGCGAGAGUUGGGAGUGCUGGCGGCCGCGGCGGGGGAGGCGGUGGCGACGCCAGUCCCGCGACACCCCCGCCUAGGCAGACUCCCGACCGCGCUGAGCGCGGAGGGCGCAAAACGUGCGCCCCUUUUUGACUCAAAAGCACAAACUUGACACCCCCUCCCCACCUCCCGCCUCACCUCCGUCCCUUCUAGCACUGAUCCUGCAGCCUCUCCGCCCUCCCUGCCCUUAAAGGGCCAGCGAAGCUCUAACUUUCACGCUCGUCGAGGGAGGGCACCGGGGCCUUGAGCGCGGGACGAAGCACAGAUUGGGGCGAUGGAGAACUGGGCUGCGGGCGCUUCGCGAUGGGGGUGUGUGGAGGGACCCCAGACUCGUCCUCCUCCCGGCCCUGGCCCUCCCUCCCGCUUCUCAGCCUCUCUCCCCUCCAGACUUUCUUGCCUUUAAAGAGGAGAGGAAAAGAGGGAAACGGUGUACUACGUGAUUUUGUUUUUGAAUAUCAAAUUGCGCCUAAAGAGAAACUCCCGGAAUGGGGAUUUUUAUCUGUUCACAUUUGUAAAACUGGUAUUUUAGACUUUGUAUAAAGAAGCGCCAUUGACCAAGUGUGUUUAUUUGAAUGUCGACGCUAUUUUCAGAUAAAACUGCAUUGAAGGGGCACGUCGGUUACCGAGUGGACCAAAACUCUGGGGACAUGCGUCUUUACCUGGCAGCGCCUUCCCUUCUCCCGUCCUUCCUGGGCCGACUUUGACUUUGGCCUUCCUCUGGCUAGCCUGGUUCUGCCCACCGUCCCCUCGUCCUGUCAUCUCCGUCCAUCACGGUCGUGUGUGUCUCCUUCGCUCGCUCGUUCUUGAGACGCUGACCCGGGGGGGUGGGU